GGUGUCGGCCAGCCGGCGGCGGACGGCCGGGAUCUCCAGCAUCCCGUCGAGGACGGACGGGGCGCGUUCGAGGUCUUCCCCGGUCUCG
rnacentral:tRNA from 1 species